rnacentral:rRNA from 1 species
GACCUUCGGGCCUUGCGCUAUCAGAUGAGCCUAGGUCGGAUUAGCUAGUUGGUGGGGUAAUGGCUCACCAAGGCGACGAUCCGUAACUGGUCUGAGAGGAUGAUCAGUCACACUGGAACUGAGACACGGUCCAGACUAAUACGGGAGGCAGCAGUGGGGAAUAUUGGACAAUGGGCGAAAGCCUGAUCCAGCCAUGCCGCGUGUGUGAAGAAGGUCUUCGGAUUGUAAAGCACUUUAAGUUGGGAGGAAGGGCAGUAAGCUAAUACCUUGCUGUUUUGACGUUACCGACAGAAUAAGCACCGGCUAACUCUGUGCCAGCAGCCGCGGUAAUACAGAGGGUGCAAGCGUUAAUCGGAAUUACUGGGCGUAAAGCGCGCGUAGGUGGUUUGUUAAGUUGGAUGUGAAAGCCCC